GGAUUUUUCUGGGUUCUCCACUCUGUGUGACUAAGCUAUAUUUCUAUCCCUCCAGUACUAUAGUCUGUUUACCUACCCGUAUGGUAAAUCUCCAAAACAGUCCUGUGUUGAAAGCAGUAGAGAGUGGACAUCUUUGCUUUGCUCCUGAUCCUAGGAGGGGCACAAUGUCUUUCAUCCUGAAAAGGUACUAAAAUGAAGAAGCAACAGACAGGACUUGAUUUCUUAAUCUGAAAAAGUGUCCAGCAUGGUACGUGGCACAAAGGUGGAUAUUCAACAAGUUUGUUGGAAGGGGUUGAUCCUGUGAGUCUUCUGGAAAGAGCAAAAGGGAAAAUCGAAUUUAUACUACAACUGAGAGAACCAUCGUACUGUUUUCCAAAGAAGCUGCACCAUGCAAAGCUCCCACCUGAGAGGCAUCAGGGUUCCCACCUCCACAUCCAUGCCAACUGCUGCUGUUUUCUUUCUUUCUUUUGGUUUUAGUAAUAGCCGUUCUUUGGGUGCAAAGUGGCAUCCCAGUAUAUUUCACUUAGGUUUAUUGAGGUUGAGAUCUUUUCAUAUGCUUGUUGGCCAUGUGUGAUUCUUCUUUGGAGAAAUGUCUGUUCAAAUCCUGUGCUCCUUUUUGAGUUGUGCUGUUUGUUUUGUUUUGGAG